rnacentral:rRNA from 1 species
GAUGAACGCUGGCGGCGUGCCUAAUACAUGCAAGUCGAGCGAACAGACGAGGAGCUUGCUCCUCUGACGUUAGCGGCGGACGGGUGAGUAACACGUGGAUAACCUACCUAUAAGACUGGGAUAACUUCGGGAAACCGGAGCUAAUACCGGAUAAUAUAUUGAACCGCAUGGUUCAAUAGUGAAAGACGGUUUUGCUGUCACUUAUAGAUGGAUCCGCGCCGCAUUAGCUAGUUGGUAAGGUAACGGCUUACCAAGGCAACGAUGCGUAGCCGACCUGAGAGGGUGAUCGGCCACACUGGAACUGAGACACGGUCCAGACUCCUACGAGAGGCAGCAGUAGGGAAUCUUCCGCAAUGGGCGAAAGCUUGACGGAGCAACGCCGCGUGAGUGAUGAAGGUCUUCGGAUCGUAAAACUCUGUUAUUAGGGAAGAACAAAUGUGUAAGUAACUAUGCACGUCUUGACGGUACCUAAUCAGAAGGCCACGGCUAACUACGUG